rnacentral:lncRNA from 1 species
AAAGAUGGUGCAUCCUCCAUUGUACCUUUUGCUCUCACCAAUAAAGCUAGUGUGCCUCCAGAUUUCUCAACUGCGCCUGAUAGCUUCUGCACUCCCGUAGAAACAGCAACAGUAUGCUUCCCUUCCACCUUAGAAUGUUUCGCAGAAUCGGAAGGCAAGAUAGUAAUCUUCUUUUGAUUCCACGUGAACGUGUAUGAAUUCUCCUUCC